CCUAACUUCCGCUAAGCUGCUUCUCCCAAGUGAGGUCUGUGCCUCAAGCAGAUCUCUCAUUUAUUUUCUUUUCAGCUCCUAGCCACUGGAAAUGCCCGGCAGCAGCAAUUCCCUGCUGGAACUGGAAAGUUUCGGCAGGCGAACAGUUAAGGGCAGGGGGAGGAGGAGGAGGAGGAGGAAGAGGAGGAGGCAGGUCCCAGUGCUCCCACUUCUCCAUCGCAGCUCAGGGGCUCAGCUGAGGUGUGAGGGGGGCACAGCGUUGCUCCCUCUCCUCGGCAAUAUUCCCUGACAUCCCCGGCAGCCGAAGCCUUGGCAGGGAAGGCAGGAGCGGCAUUCCCGGGACAGCAAUGCGGGCGGGAUGCGGGGCUCCCGUUAAUGGUUAACGGCGGCGCCACCGGCCCCGUGAAGGACAAUGAGCCCCGCGUCCAGCUCCGCUCGCCUCGGCUGCGCCGCCGAGCCCCGGCUGCCUCUGCUCCAGUGGCACCCCUGCUCUCCUGCUUUCUGCACAGCAUCCAAAGGUUGACACGGACUUGAUUUGCUGCAGUUUUUUGCUCAGAUGGAUGGAAGGCUCCCAUCAAGGUUGUUUACCCACUAAAUGGAUCCCUGAGGAGCUCCAAGGCAAAAAGAUUCUCCUGGGAGCUGAUUCCCUCCUGUUUUUCUUUGAGCUGCCUGAAGAACAUCCCAGGAAAAUGGAGGAGCCCUGCACCUAACAGCCAGCUCUGCUUUCUGGAAUGCUCAGUGGGAAGGAGGCACCAUUCCAGCAUGAAAUCCAGUGCAUACCAAAUUUUAAUACCAAGUGCUUCAAGGAUAAAGACUUCAUGUAAUUGCUGUGGGAUUCACACUGCUGCCUCAAUCUUCUGACUGUUCAACAAG